AAUAAGUGCAGUUUUGCACUAUUUACGUUCAACGUUUGACCGUUCGUCUUAUUUAAAAUUUUUUUAUGAUUAGUAUUUUUAUUGCUAUUAGAUGAUAAAACAUGAAUAGUACUUUAUGUGUGACUAAUUUUUUCAUUAAUUUUUCAAAUAAGACGGAUGGUCAAACGUUGGACACGGAUAUCCACGGCUGCACUUAUU
rfam:Oryza sativa (indica cultivar-group) chromosome 5, whole genome shotgun sequence.